CAACAAACUUAGUAGGGGAGACUCUAUGACCAUAAAGGGGGUUUUCUCAGGAAAAAAAAAAAAAACAUGUCCAUUGUGCUUCUUGUGUGAGCACCCAGGGAAGUUCCCCAAAUGUGGGAAACUCAGCUGCAAAAUAUGUGAAGGCAGGGGUAAAAUUUCUUCCUUCUCUUC
ensembl:snRNA Gm22730 predicted gene, 22730